CAGGCCUUGGCAGCAGGAACACUCAGACUCACAGAUAGCAGCAGAAAAUGAGCUCAUAAGGCAAGCCAGAGCCCCUCCUGCCUUUGUGUGAUGGUCAGCUCCCUGCUCAGAGCAGCACUAUUGGCAUGUCCCCAGCUGGAAGCCUCCAACCCUCCUCAGGCUUGCCACCAGUGAAGAAGACCCAUUGUUCCAGGCAGUACCAACGACCAUUCAACGAGUAGUCCUGGAGCUUGUGCCAUAUUAAUGGUUAAAAGGAAAGAACAUGCCAGAAGAAAGGCAGGCAGGAAGGGUGUCCUUGAAAGCAGGCACACCCAUCUCACUGAUAUCUCAAAUCAACAGUUUUUCAAGAGGUCUCUGUGCAACCAAGGAGUAUGACAUUUACUAAUGUGUUGAGAGUCAGGGAUUCUCUUUUGUAGGAGCCAAUACUAAUAAGAAAGAUAUGGUUCAGUGUCCUGGGUAUUCUUCCAAGUUUUAUUAAUUAGAUGGAAAGCUUGUCCCUCUGGAAUAUUGUAAGGUAUUUAUUAACACUUCAGUCCACAAACUAGAACAAAUUUACAGUAGCGGAGGUAAUUGUUACAUACACCAGCCCUGGUUAUCAACUUGGCAGGGAAAAGCAGAAAAAGGUUAAGAUUAUGAUCUUUUUCAUGAUAUUUUAAUUGUACUUCUUAAUCUGCUAAAUUAAAAACUACAGAGCAAUCUUAUUCAGAUCACAGACGAAAAAGAUCAUAUCAAUUUGUGACAAAAUGUAUGAAUGCUACUAUCUGCUUUAAUUAUGCAGAAAAUUUAACAGUCAAAUUCAGUAUGAUCACAGAGCGGGUAAGAUACAAAUAUUAUCUCUUCUCCAGUUGUGCUAUCUCCUCCCUAAGCGUUUUUGUGUUUUCUUCCAAGCCUCUCAUCCCUUAAUGUCUGGACACUCUCCCCCAGCUAAUUUGUAAUGCCACCACUUUCUCCUCCUUCAGAUUAAACAUCAAGAUCCAUCCCUACCACUACGUUUUCAGUCAAUUGGCAACUGAUAAUGUCAAUGCAGGUGGUCAUAACUAUCUCACUUAUUUAUACGCUUCAAAAAGAAUCAUAACUGUGCUCAUAGCUAGUCUGUGUAACCACAUGUUCCUUUAACUAUUGCCCUUGGUCUUCCCAUUCCCACUCCAUCUGUUUUUUAUAUCUACUUAAUUCAGACUGUCCCCUCUUAGGGGUACAUGGGUGUAUGUUCAGUGCCUAACACAGUGGGACCCUGAUCUGAAUGGAUGCUAUUGUAACACACAAUUAACGAAUUAUAAUGUUUUGUUAUGAGUUUCUAGUGUAAAACUACUUUGAUGAUGAAAGUAUAUUUGGGCCUUAACUUGCACUCCUGAAUCCAUGCCCUUGAAGUCAAUGAGAGCUUUCCCUGAGGAAGGCCCACAAAGAGUUCGAUCCAAGCUUCCAAUAUUUAAGCACAUAUUGCUGUGAAUCCUCUAAAACAAUACUUGUGCAGGUGUGUGCACAGGCAGGACUUUGUUGUGCAAGGUUUGCUAAGGAUGUUCAACCUGGAGUAAGACCUGAAACUGUUAGCCACUUAAAUGCUGUUAUUUUGGGAAAUCUGGCACUCCAUCUCCUCAGCCCGUUACUUUUCCAUGAUCGACCUCUAAUACGCUGUGUCAUGGCAACUCUCCUUCUUGUUGACCAGUACUUGAUGUGGCUAUCUUUCUGAAGGUUAUCAAUACCAACCAGUGUGUGAUACAGAAGGGUUCAUUUCUUC